rnacentral:rRNA from 1 species
UGGGGGAUCUUGCGCUAAUGCGCGAAAGCGUGACGCAGCGACGCCGCGUGGGGGAUGAAGGCCCUCGGGUUGUAAACCCCUUUCGGCAGGGACGAAGGGAAACUGACGGUACCUGCAGAAGAAGUCCCGGCUAACUACGUGCCAGCAGCCGCGGUAACACGUAGGGGACGAGCGUUGUCCGGAUUCAUUGGGCGUAAAGCGCGCGUAGGCGGCUCGGAAAGUCGGGCGUGAAAUGCCGGGGCUCAACCCCGGGACUGCGUCCGAUACUUCCGAGCUGGAGGUAGGUAGGGGAGAUCGGAAUUCCUGGUGUAGCGGUGAGAUGCGCAGAUAUCAGGAGGAACACCGGUGGCGAAGGCGGAUCUCUGGGCCUUACCUGACGCUGAGGCGCGAAAGCUAGGGGAGCGAACA